rnacentral:lncRNA from 1 species
GAUUUCAUUAAAAUUUGAUUGAAAUUGGUUUAAGGUUUUAUUGGAAAUUGAUCUAAGAUAAGGAUUUGUGAUUUGAUUAAGAUUUUUCUAAAGUUUGAUUAAAAUUUGAUUAGAAUGUUAUUAAGACUUUUCUAAAAUUUGAUUAGAAUUUAAGAUCUAUCUAAGAUUUAGUUAGGAUUUAGAAUUUGAUUAAGAUUUGAUUAAGAUUUGUCCAAGAUUUUAUUAGGAUUUGAUCUAGGAUUUAAGAUUUGACUAGGAUUUGCUUAUUAUUUUGAUUAAGAUUUGAUUAGGAUUUAAGAUUUAUCUAAGAUUUAAGAUUUGUCUAAAAUUUGAUUAAGAUUUGAUUAGAAUUUGGAUAGAAUUUGUUUAGGAUUUCAUUAAGAUUUUUUUAAGAUUAUAUUAAG